AGAGUUUGAUCCUGGCUCAGAUUGAACGCUGGCGGCAGGCCUAACACGUGCAAGUCGAACGGUAACAGGAAGAAGCUUGCUUCUUUGCUGACGAGUGGCGGACGGGUGAGUAAUGUCUGGGAAACUGCCUGAUGGAGGGGGAUAACUACUGGAAACGGUAGCUAAUACCGCAUAACGUCGCAAGACCAAAGAGGGGGACCUUCGGGCCUCUUGCCAUCGGAUGUGCCCAGAUGGGAUUAGCUAGUAGGUGGGGUAAAGGCUCACCUAGGCGACGAUCCCUAGCUGGUCUGAGAGGAUGACCAGACACACUGGAACUGAGACACGGUCCAGACUCCUACGGGAGGCAGCAGUGGGGAAUAUUGCACAAUGGGCGCAAGCCUGAUGCAGCCAUGCCGCGUGUAUGAAGAAGGCCUUCGGGUUGUAAAGUUCUGUCUUUGGGGACGAUAAUGACGGUACCCAAGGAGGAAGCCACGGCUAACUACGU
rnacentral:rRNA from 1 species